rnacentral:rRNA from 1 species
GACGAACGCUGGCGGCGUGCUUAACACAUGCAAGUCGAACGGAAAGACGCUGCUUUUGUUGGGUUCUCGAUUGGCGAACGGGUGAGUAACACGUGAGUAACCUGCCCUUGACUUUGGGAGAACUUCAGGAAACUGGGGCUAUUACAGGGUAUAAUCUCCUGCUCCGUGGGGGGGGUUGGAAAGUUGCGGUGUUGGGGGAUGUUCUAGAGGCAUACCAGCUGUUUGGUGGGGUAGUGGCUUCCCCAGGCUUUGACGGGUAGCCGGACUGAGAGGGUGACGGGGCCCAUUGGGCCUGAGAUACGGCCAAGAGUGAUACGGGAGCAAGAGGUGGGGACUAGUGCACAAAGGGCGGAAGGCGGAUGCAGCAACGCCGCGUGCGGGAUCACGGUCUUCGGGUUGUAACCCGUUUUCACCUGUGACGAAGCGUGAGUGAGGGUAAUGGGUAAAGAAGCACCGGCUAACUACGU